rnacentral:rRNA from 1 species
GUGGGGAAUUGUUCGCAAUGGGCGCAAGCCUGACGACGCAACGCCGCGUGGAGGAUGAAGGUCUUCGGAUUGUAAACUCCUGUUGAUCGGGACGAAAAGCUCCAACCCAAUACGUUGGAGACUGACGGUACCGGUUGAGGAAGCCACGGCUAACUCUGUGCCAGCAGCCGCGGUAAUACAGAGGUGGCAAGCGUUGUUCGGAAUUACUGGGCGUAAAGGGCGCGUAGGCGGCCUCCUAAGUCGGACGUGAAAGCCCCAGGCUUAACCUGGGAACUGCGUCUGAUACUGGGAGGCUUGGAUUCGGGAGAGGGAUGUGGAAUUCCAGGUGUAGCGGUGAAAUGCGUAGAUAUCUGGAGGAACACCGGUGGCGAAGGCGGCAUCCUGGACCGAGAUCGACGCUGAGGCGCGAAAGCUAGGGGAGCAAACGGGAUUAGAAACCCCGGUAGUCC